AUUAGGGUGGCAGAGACAGGUAUUAAUGCAUCAGGCCUAAGCCCUUAUGACUGGGGUUCAAAUCCCCACCCCAAUA
rnacentral:tRNA from 1 species